UACGGAGGGUGCGAACGUUAAUCGGAAUUACUGGGCGUAAAGCGCGCGUAGGCGGUUCGGUAAGUGGGAUGUGAAAGCCCUGGGCUCAACCUGGGAACUGCAUUCCAAACUGCCGAGCUAGAGUGUGGUAGAGGGAGGUAGAAUUUCCUGUGUAGCGGUGAAAUGCGUAGAUAUAGGAAGGAAUACCAGUGGCGAAGGCGGCCUCCUGGAUCAACACUGACGCUGAGGCGCGAAAGCUAGGGGAGCAAACAGG
rnacentral:rRNA from 1 species